rnacentral:lncRNA from 1 species
CCCGAGACUCGCUCCUCGCCCCACCCCUAGGGGCGGACCCGACUUGACUUAAACUCCGGGUCCCGGGAGGCCGGGGGCGUUCUCCCGCUUCUCAGGGUUUGGUUUGAACGCCGUCCUCAGCGCUUCUCGAACCGAAGAAACAAAAGCUCUGGGUGGAAGGGAUUGACCUGUGAAAGGACAUGUAAACAUACAGUAUUUAAAGAGUAAGUCAUUUAAAAGUAAUUAUGUUACCGACCUUGAUU